UUCGGCCAUCAGUAAAGCGGCGGACGGGUGAGUAACACGUAGGUAAUCUUCCUUCGAGCGGGGGACAACGUUCCGAAAGGGACGCUAAUACCGCAUACGUUUUCAGAGACUCCGGUCUUUGGAAGGAAAGCUAGGUAGCAAUAUCCGGCACUCGAUGAGGAGCCUGCGUCGCAUCAGCUAGUUGGUGGGGUAACGGCCUACCAAGGCGAAGACGCGUAGCUGGUCUGAGAGGAUGAUCAGCCACACUGGGACUGAGACACGGCCCAGACUCCUACGGGAGGCAGCAGUGGGGAAUAUUGGACAAUGGGCGCAAGCCUGAUCCAGCCACGCCGCGUGAGUGAUGAAGGCCUUCGGG
rnacentral:rRNA from 1 species